UACGGGGGGGGCAAGCGUUGUUCGGAAUUACUGGGCGUAAAGGAUGCGUAGGCGGACAUUUAAGUCAGAUGUGAAAUACCCGAGCUUAACUUGGGUGCUGCAUUUGAAACUGGGUGUCUAGAGUGCAGGAGAGGUAAGUGGAAUUCCUAGUGUAGCGGUGAAAUGCGUAGAGAUUAGGAAGAACACCAGUGGCGAAGGCGACUUACUGGACUGUAACUGACGCUGAGGCAUGAAAGCGUGGGGAGCAAACAGG
rnacentral:rRNA from 1 species